rnacentral:rRNA from 1 species
GACGAACGCUGGCGGCGUGCCUAAUACAUGCAAGUCGAACGCAGUGGGGACGGGUGAGUAACACGUGGGUAACCUCCCAUCAGAGGGGAUAACUCUUGGAAACAGGUGCUAAACUGAUAUUGACGGAUGGACCCGCGGUGCAUUGGCUAGUUGGUGAGGUAACGGCUCACCAAGGCCACGAUGCAUAGCCGACCUGAGAGGGGGGUCGGCCACACUGGGACUGAGACACGGCCCAGACUCCUACGGGAGGCAGCAGUAGGGUAUCUGCGGCAAUGGACGAAAGUCUGACCGAGCAACGCAGCGUGAGUGAAGAAGGUUUUCGGAGCGUAAAACUCUGUUGUUGGAGAAGCGGUAUCUAACCAGAAAGCCACGGCUAACUACGUGCCAGCAGCCGCGGUAAUUC